GGGGAAUAUUGCGCAAUGGGGGCAACCCUGACGCAGCCAUGCCGCGUGAAUGAAGAAGGCCUUCGGGUUGUAAAGUUCUUUCGGUAGCGAGGAAGGCAUUUAGUUUAAUAGACUAGGUGAUUGACGUUAACUACAGAAGAAGCACCGGCUAAUUCCGUGCCAGCAGCCGCGGUAAUACGGAGGGUGCGAGCGUUAAUCGGAAUAACUGGGCGUAAAGGGCACGCAGGCGGUGACUUAAGUGAGGUGUGAAAGCCCCGGGCUUAACCUGGGAAUUGCAUUUCAUACUGGGUCGCUAGAGUACUUUAGGGAGGGGUAGAAUUCCACGUGUAGCGGUGAAAUGCGUAGAGAUGUGGAGGAAUACCGAAGGCGAAGGCAGCCCCUUGGGAAUGUACUGACGCUCAUGUGCGAAAGCGUGGGGAGCAAACAGGAUUAGAUACCCUGGUAGUCCACGCUGUAAACGAUGUCGAUUUGGGGGUUGAACUUUGAGUUUGGCGCCCGUAGCUAACGUGAUAAAUCGACCGCCUGGGGGGUACGGCCGCAAGGUUA
rnacentral:rRNA from 1 species